GUAAUAUGGUGGAGGAGGUGAAGGAGAGGAAGGGGGUGGUGACUUGUGGUAGUAGACUGGUGGUUGGGGUGAUGGAGAAGGUAGUGGUGGGGAUUUGUAGAGGUAUGGUGGAAGAGGAGAUGGAGAUGGAGGAGGUGAGGACUUGUAAUAGGAUGGAGAAGGUGGUGGUGGUGAUUUGUAGUAGUAAGGAGGAGGUGGGGAAGGAGAUGGUAGAGGUGGGGACUUAUAGUAAUAAGGAGGUUGAGGAGAUGGUGAUGGAGGAGGAGGUAAUUUAUAGUCGUAGUGAGGAGGGGGUGAUGGUGAAGGUAGUGGUGGUGACUUGUAGUAAUACCACGGAGGAAGAGAUGGAGAUGGAGCCAGAGGUGACAGCGGUGGUAGUGAUUUGUAGUAAUAAGGAGGCAGUGAUGAUGGAAAAGGUGGGAGCGGUGGCAGUGAUUUAUGGUAAUAAGGAGGUAGUGAUGAUGGAAAAGGUGGGAGCGGUGGCCGUGAUUUAUAGUAAUAAGGAGGUAGUGAUGAUGGAAAAGGUGGGGAUGCAAAAGUAUUAGGAUUGUAAGGCUCGUCUUCAGCAGCUACAUUAGCGGCAAUCAAGCACAAAGCCAAGACACAAAUCAGGUGAGGCCAAAAAUUGGCCAUUUCCAGAACACGAGAAAAUUUCACUCCUACAACUCAAGAACUUCUAUUUCUUAGAACAGAAGGGAUUUUGUGAAUGAUGCUUCAAGGUAGAGGCUCAGAGUUUAUAUAGUCAUCCUUUCCAUAAUUCUUUCAUUUGUUUAAUUAGUAGUUGUUGAAGCCUCCAAUCUUUAACAAGUCUACAACUAAAUGGUAUUCCCCUAUUUUCUAUGUGUUACCUGCACAUCUGUCCAUGAAAAGUCAAGAAGAUUAGUAAACAUAUAUAUACAAGAGUGCAUUUCAGUUUUGGUUGUUGGGAGCCUAGAAGCUUCCCCAUAUAUUAUGUCAAAUGUGACUGCCAUCUUUAAGAAUUUACCAUGGAAAACUCAACAUAAAAUAUUACUAUGAAGCAUGUCUACCAAGCAAAAAGCUAGGGCUAUUAGAUCUCCUUCUACCAUAACUUCCUGUUUUUCGAAAAUUUGUCAUACAUUGAAACCUUUUUCAAAACAACAAAAAGAUUUAAUAUUGCAAAUAAUUUACGGGCAUUAAUUAGGAAGGUAAUGCACUAAUAAACCUAAAAUCAAUGCCAAUUUUUCUAGAAAGGCAUCGUUGUCUUUCAAUAACUUCUUAAGCUAGCUAUUUAAUAUUAUAGGACGACUAGGUCUAUGAAUGAGAUCAUCAUAUGCAUUUUCAAUAACAAGUAAUGGACCCUUGUUUUUCCAUUGGAUUUGAGUAACGAUGAAAGUUCUUUAGGAAAAGGAAAGAAACAUAAUUAAUCUCUUAAAUUUCUUCUUCAUGCAUGUUGCUAGAUAAAGGAUUGAUGGGGCAAGCAACAAAGGGAGAUUAUUUAAAGAGAUUUUGUAAUAACUACUUUGGAAUUGGGAGUUGUAGAAAGUGGAAGAGAAAAUGUUCAAGGAAUAGUUCAUUCCUCAAAUGUUCAUCCAUUCCUUUGUAUAGGGUUUUGCCUUUAAAUAUCAACAAAACUGCUCAAGGUGUAUUUGAUAGUAAUUUUAGAAAGUAUUUUUAACCUUUAUAAUACUUAAAAAAAAAAAAAAUUGUUAAGUGUCAAAAAUAUUAAAAACACAUCUUAAAAUCACUACUAAACGGACUCUUAAAAGUUCAUAUGAAAUUAAUCAAAUUAGAUAAGGACAGGUUCUAACCUGUGGACAUAUAUGUAGAACUAAGGUCUUAGAACCGGUGAUGAUGAGAUUGCAAUCACAACUCACAACCAAAUAUCAUACAUACUUGAAAGAAACAAAUUGGAAGGAAAUCUAUUUCAAUAUGAAUUAUAAAGUGUUUUUGUGGUUAAUAUAAAAAAUAAUGACACUACAUGCAACUUACAUAUGUACUUGCUUUAUAUGCUAACGACAUUAUUUAUAUGCUAGAUAUUAACUAGACACCAUCAAUCAAGUCUAUAUAUAUAUAUAUAUUAUUAUUUAUAUCUUUAUACUUUGAUCUCAUUUGUUUAUUUCUUCGUUCAACAACACAAAUCUCAUCAUGCAUGUUUAAUGAUCCGGAUUUAGAGCUCAAUAGAUAUCACUAGGGUAGCUUAGGAUUUUCUUACCUAAAAUUACUAUAAGAAGUACUCAAGGAAAAAGAAAAUGAAUGAUCUAAAAGUGGAUCCCUUGCAACACUUCAAGGAGUCGAGAUUUGUACUUGGUUGGGCUUGGAAUUCUAAUAAUCCUAGUUGGCUGGGCACUUGGCUUUCUAAUAAUUCUAGUUGUCGCAUUAACGGAAACUGUUUGUAACUCAACAGUAUGGACAAUUGAAAUGUUUAUGGAGUAUUGUUAAUCAAAGCUGCCAUGGGAAAAUCUUUUGUUUGAAGCCCUUCACUGGAAUAUUCAAUAAAUAUAGCUAGCGCCACUUUCCCUCAGAAAUAAUUCCCCCCAAUACCUUAAAUGGUAUGCUUAAUUUCUUAUUCACUUUUACACACCUAUUCAUCUUAAUUACCAAAUGCACCCACUUUCUGUUUUUUUUUUCUUUUAACUCAUUAAUGUUUUAAAAAAAAUUGGUAUUAAUCAAAUAUUAAUUUUAAAAUUUUUAAUUAUUUUAAAAAAUUAUCAUAUCGGUUAAGAAAUUUAAUGCAUUAGCUCUCACUUGAUUUGAAAUAUGUUUGUCUAAUGAUAGAACUUGAAAAUUAUAUAGUUACACGCACAUAAAAAAUUGGCCAAGCCAUUGUAGACCGGUUUUGUUCCAACAAAUUCUAGUAUUAAUUGGCUCGAAUCAAGUUCUAAAUGAUUUUUAAAAUUUAUUAAACUUAUUAAGGAAUCCAAUGCAUCAAAUUGGAUUUAGAAGAUGACACAUCUCAAAGCAAAACAAUAGGGAAAGGUAUAAUAAAUCACAAAUUCAAUGUUAUAAAUAUCAAAAAUUAAACUGGAAUAAUCUCAAAUGACAAAAAUUAAGAAGAUUCUAUAGAUAAGGAAAUAAAAGCAAUAACAAAACAUAAUACAUUGAAACUAAAAUCCUUUCCAAAAGAGAAAAAGGCAAUUGGAGGAAAAUGGGUAAACAAUGAGUCAAAUCCUAUUUUUUGAAAACAACCAAAGGUUUAUAAAAUAAUAAUAAAUAAAUAAAUAAAAUGAAAUAAAAUAAAAUAAAUAAGAUCUCCUUUAAGACUAAAUGAUUCCAUUGAAUUGAGUAUGAUUGUGUGUGUGAUAGCAUCAACAGUACUAAGAAUAUCAAUGACCUUUUGGCAACCAACCUUCAAAAUAUAAAGGGGAAAGAUGUGCAAAGAAGAAUGUAAAAGGAGAAAUAUUAGAGAGACACAAAGUAAGAUUAGUGGUUAAGGGUUACAAGCAUCAACUUGUAAACAACAAAUUAGCAAUUGCACUAUCAAAAAAUCCAAUUUUAUAUGUUUGAAACAAGAUAUCAAUACAAAAUAUCAUUUUAUUAGAGAGUGCAUAAUGAAGAAGAAAGUAUAAUUAAAUUUGCAAAAUCUCAAGAUUAAAUUGCAAAUAUUUUUACCAAACCUCUCAAGUUUAAAAAUUUUAGAAAGUUAAGUAUAUUACUUGGAGUUACAAAUAAAGUUUAAGGGGGAUAUUGGAAAGUUAAACUUGAUUUAGAAAGUUUCCAAAACUUAGAACUAGAUUUAGUCUCCACAAUUCAAAGAUAAUAUUUUAUUUUCAAUGGUUGUUUAUAUUUGAGUAGUCAAGUCCUAGAAGGUUAAUUUCUAUAUUUUGUUAUUAGAAUUUUCUAUUUUGUUAAGUGUAAAUAUCUAUAAAUAAGAUUUUAUGUAAUAUUUGAAUAAGAAAGUGUGAAGAUGAAUCUCACCUAUGGAUAACAGCUAGAGGGGGCUAAAUAGAUGUUUUUUAAAACAACUUAAGAUGGUAUCUCACAAAUGCUUACAAAUCCCUUAUUUUUCUCAAAUGUUUUGGUUUGUUUUUUUUUAUCUUAUUAAAAAAAAAACAAAUCAUAAGUAAUAAUGGAUGCAUCAACACUCUCUCAUUAAGUGAGUCAAUGCAAAUCACAUACAAAUGAAUCAACACUCCUCAACUAUAAUGUAUAAGACAUUAUAUGCAUCGACACAAAUCCCAUUUUCGCAUGUCCCAUGACAUUAAUAUCAAAAACUGAAAUAUACCAUAUUCUAUCAAAGCUUCAAUGGUUUAAUUUAAGCUCAUAUCUCAAUUAAACAACAAAAUAAUUCAAUAGAAAUAUCAUAAGCUAAUGAAAAACUAAUUAAAAGAUGAGGUAGAAUAGACAUAUAAGGGAAGCAGCCUAAAAUCAUGCCUAUCAUUCAAUUCUAUAUUCUGUCAUAUAGCUGUAUAUUGUAACAGUAGCAUAGAUUUAGCCUUACCGUUUCUAAAUUUGAAUCAUAUAGUUGUAUAUUGUAACGGUAGCAUCCUUAUCGUGUAUAUGUUUCUUAAACUAGCUUCUUAAUCACUUUAUAUAAUAGAGUUUCCAUCAAUAAAAUGAGUUGGAAAUUCUUCAUUGAAACUACGACAAUAUUUUUUUCUUUAUAUGGUAUCAGAGCACUGAUCUCAAAUGAGCCAUCGAUCCAAGUUAUCACCAUGCCUUCCUCCUCUGAUCAAACUCCAAACUUUAAUCUCAAUACUCAACUUCCAUCUGCAGUCGAUAAACCCCUAAUUGCUCUCAAUAUCACAACCCAAAUCAAUGAAAAAUUAACUCCCUCCACAUUUUCUCAAUGGUGUGCUCAAUUUGAAGCACUCAUUAUUGGUUACGAUUUACUCAACUAUGUUGAAGGCACCAUUCGGUGCCCUUCCUCUACUGCUACUCCUACUGAUGAGUUGCACAAAACCCAUUGGGUCCGAUAGGAUAAACUUAUCUUGAGUGCUAUUCUAGCCUCCACAUCUUCUUCAAUCACACCACUCAUUGCUACGUCAAAGACCUCCCAUGAAGCUUGGAAAAAAUUAAAACCUCUAUAUGCUACCCGAUCAAGAACACAUGCUAUGCAAUUAAAGGAGGAACUCACCUUAAUCCAGCGAGGAGAUCGGUCGAUUAUAGAAUGCAUCCAUCCUCUAAAGUCCUUGGCCAAUGAAAUAACCAUUAUUGAUCAUUCAAUUUCGGAUGAUGACCUAACCCUUUGUGUGUUGAAUGGCUUAGGUCUAGAUUUUCGAGAGAUUGUUGUGCAUAUCUGAGCUCGAGAAUCAUCACUGGCUUUUGAGGAGUUGCAUGAUCUUUUGGUUGGACACGAGGCAUACUUAUGACGCAUAGGAGUUGCGAUGCAGAACCUAGUUGCUUCUGCAAAUUUCAUAAAGAUGACGAAGUAGUCUCCACAAUGAGGAAGUCACCCGUGGUCUUUCAAGCAAACUAGCUUUCACCAUGAGCCUCGAGGUUCUCAACAAAGCUGCAACUCAAAUGGAGCCCAACGUGAUGGAUGUCGCUCCAACAAUAACUCUAGGCGACCCAACAACUCCAAUUGGUGUUACCAGCCCAAAUGUCAAAUUUAUGACCAAUUGGGCCACACUGCAAAGUUCUGUCCUCAACUCCAUUCAUAGAAUGCCUCCAUCAAUUGUGCUGCAAUCUCUACUGGCAAGGACAAAAAUUGGUUACUUGAUUCGACUAUUUCUCAUAAUAUCACGGGUGAUCUUUCCAACUUAUCUAUUCACUCCGAAUAUGAUGGAAUUGACAAAGUAAUUCUCAGUAAUGGUUCAAGUUUGGUUGUCUCACACAUCGGUUUUUUGGAUUUACACUCCCCUCAUCGAAAUUUUACAUUGCAUGAUACUCUUUGUGUUCCAAAUCUUUGCAGAAAUUUAAUUUCCGUUCAUCAUCUCACCAAACAAAACAAUGUCUUGGUUGAAUUUCACCAUUUUCAUUUUCUUGUGAAGAACAAGAUCACGGGGGCAAUCCUACUAAGAAGAGCAUGUAACAAUGGCAUCUACACUUUUCCGACAUCAAUGGUGGCAUAAAAAAAUAUUGCUAAUGUGCAUGAACACAGAUGGAUGGCACAAGCGUCUUGGGAUUCCUUCUACUAAAAUUGCCCAUCAUCUUGUCAAUAAAUUUUCUCUUCCUAUGUCCUUGAACAAAAAGUUUAUCUUCAUUAUGUUCUUCAUGUUCUAUUAAUAAAGCACAUCAACAACCACUUUGUGUCACUAGUCUCCAAAGUCAUGAGCCACUUGACCUUAUUUACACGGAUGUGUGGGGUCCCGCUAGUUAUACUGGAAUUGAUGGAUCACGAUAUUACCUUAUUUUUGUUGAUCAUUAUACAAAAUAUAUAUGAUUUUAUCCAAUGGUCACAAAAUCCAAUGUUUCUAAUAUUUUCCCGCAUUUCAAAAAGUUUGUUGAAACUUGUUUUUAAAAAUCUAUUAAAACACUUUACUUCAAAAAUGGUGGUGAGUUUAUCGCUUUAAAAUCUUAUUUAUUACUUCAUGGCAUAACUCACUACACCACUGCUCCACACACUCAACAACAAAAUGGUGUCUUUGAACGUUAUCACUGUCAUCUCGUUGAAACGAACCUUACACUUCUUCAUGAUGCAAAUCUUGCUUUCUCAUAUUGGCCCUAUGCUUUUCAAACAACUUCUUAUCUCAUAAAUAAACAACCAAUGCCUUUCCUCCAAGAAAAAAAUACCUUUUGAAGCCCUUUUUGGUCAACCACCCAAUUACUUGAAAUUAAAAAAAUUUGGGUGCAUUUGUUAGCCCCUCACACGAGCCUAUAAUUCAAAUAAAAUGCAGCCCAAAUCCAAAGUCUGCAUUUUUCUCGGUUAUUCACCAACCCAAAACGCAUACAAGUGUUUUGAACCUCAAACAAAAAAUUCUUUCUCUCACGGCAUGUGUUAUUUGAUGAAAAUCUAACAUAUUCCAGUCUAUCCUAAACUGCGUCUUCCAUAACAACCCAACCCACUCGAGAAUCUCACAUUUUUUUUCAUUUUUUCUUCUUCAAUUCUCAGCAGGCUGUCGUGUCUCCAUCACAGUUGUCCGGUACACCUAUCUCAUCGUUGUCUCCGGAAGGUCCGCCUACCAUUGUUGCGUCUUCCUUAGGUGAUUUCGGACCCUCUGCUCCUUUCUUUCAUGAUUGCUUGCAAACCCUAGAUCACAACACCACCCACUUGAAUUUUCCUUUACAUGACACUCAGACUGGUCCUUCUUUAAAUUUGCAAUCACGCUCUCAUGAUCAGCAUCUAGGUCUAGCUAAUACUUCCAAUUUUCCAACCCCUACCGAAACCAAUAAUUUUCCCCAACGCACUCAUACCAUGACCAUAAGAUCAAUGUACCAAAUCUUCAAACCCAAACAACUCCACACUGUGUCAAAAUAUCCUCUCUCCUCGACCAUUGAACCAACCAAUGUGAGCCAAGCCAUUUCUCAACCUCAUUGGCGUGAGGUCAUGUCUAAUGAGCUUACUGCUCUAAUGAAACAUAGGACUUGGGACAUAGUUUUACCACCUUCAAACUGUAAACCCGUGGGUUGUAAAUGGGUAUUUUGAGUAAAAAGAAAAGCUGAUGGGUCAGUGGACAGGUUCAAAGUCUGUCUAGUUGCUAAGGGCUAUAAUCAACGUCUUGGUGUUGAUUACAAAGACACUUUUAGUCUUGUCAUCAAACCAACAACUAUUAGAUUUGUCCUAUCUAUUGUAGUCAUGAAUGGAUGGGUUUUGAGGCAACUGAAUAUCAACAAUGCUUUUCUAAAUGGUGAAUUAUCUGAGACUGUGUUUAUGGCAUAACCCCCAGGGUUCAAAGAUUUGUCCAAACCUAAUCAUGUUUGCAAGUUAAAAAAAUGCCAUCUAUGGGCUUAAAUAAGCCCCGCGAGCUUGGUACACAAUGCUAAAAAAUGCCAUUCUUCAGUUGGGUUUUCAUAAUUCCAAAGUGGAUUCCUCUCUCUUCAUUUACAACCAUGGUUCCAAUCUUUAUUAUUUCUACAGGGAAUAAUUUCAUACUUAUGGCCACUAUUAUGAAGCAGCUGGGUGACAUGUUUUCUCUCAAAGAUAUGGGUUCUCUUCAUUUUUUCUUAGGAAUUGAAGUAAUUCCUACUCGGGCAGGAUUAUUCCUCUCACAACAUAAAUAUGUUCAUGAACUUUUAGCCCACACCAGUAUGAGUAGUGCAAAAGAUGUCUCCAUACCUCUCUCUACCACUCAAUCUCUUCAACUGGUUGAUGGCAUUGUUGCUGUGGACAACUCAGAGUUCUGUAAAAUCAUUGGCAGCCUUCAAUACCUUUCUUUGACGCAUCCAGAUAUCUCAUUUGCAGUAAAAAAAACUCUCGCAAUUUAUGCACAAGCCGACUACAAAUCACUGGACAGAAACCAAACGACUCAUUCGAUACUUAAAACAAACCAUUUUUUUAUGGUAUUCAAAUCAACAAAGCUGGAACUCCAGUAUUAAGAACAUACUCAGAUGUAGAUUGGGCUGGAAAUGUGGACGACUGCACGUCCACCUCUGCUUCUAUCAAUUUUUUGGGAUCUAACCAAAUUUCUUGGAGCUCAAAGAAACAAAGAGCAGUUGCAAGAUCCUCAAUAGAAGUUGAAUACCGAGACUAGCAACUGCGGCUUCCGAGACAAUGUGGAUGUCUACUCUCUUCAAAGAACUAGCAUUUCCAAUCAAAGAAUCUCCCCAAUUGUUAUGUGACAACCUUGGAGCCACACAUCUCAGUUUUAACUCGGUUAAUCAUUCACGCAUGAAACACAUUCAAAUUGACCUUCACUUUGUGCGUGACUUAGUGCAAAAAGGAAGCAUCCAAGUCAGCCAUGUACAUACUCAAGACCAAUUAGCUUAUCUGUUAGCAAAGUCGUUGUCCAAACAACGCACAGAAUUGUUACGCAACAACAUUGUCCUUACCGAUGGAAGCCCUAUCUUGCAGGGGUGUAUAAGGGAAACAUCCUAAAAUCAUGCCUAUCAUUCAAUUCUAUAUUCUGUCAUAUAGUUGUAUAUUGUAACAGUAGCAUCCUUACCGUGUAUAAGUUUCCUAAACUAGCUUCUCAAUCACUCUAUAUAACAGAGUUUCUAUCAAUAAAAUGAGUGGGAAAUUCUUCAUUGAAACUACGACAAUAUUUGUUUCUCUAUAAGAGAAACGGUGACACCAAUAUUUUAGCAUGGAAAACCUAAAAAAAGGAGAAAAAACCAUAGACCUCUAGCGAUCAAAUCAUUCACCAUGAAGAAAAUUAACUAAGUACAAGGAUUUACCUAACCCAAACUUUCAAUCCUCUCUUGGUCCACUUGCCUAAAAUCUUCAGACUUUAGCAACCCACUUUCUUCUUCUAGAACACACUUCAAAUCCAUACUAAGUUUGAUCUUGACCUCUUCUUAAAUCCACAUAAGAAGAUAUUUGAGUUUUUACCCCAAAUAAGAUGAAUAUAAGCGUAAAGAUGAAACUCACACUGAAUCAACCUAUUUUGAAAGAAAUUUUUUCACUUAAAAAUGAAUUUCAACUCAAACCCAUAAAAUUUUCAUUCAAACCAAACACCUCAAAAACAGGUAAAAGAAUAUGAAGCUCAAGAGAGGCCACCUAUCUCUUUCAGCCCGCCCUUCCUCUUAUAGAAAUAGAGCUUAAAUAUUAGGGUUUUAAAACCCAUUAAACGGAUGAGAUUUGUUUGGAAAAUAAUGAAGAUUCAUAGUGUGAUCGAAACCUGAUCACAAGACUGAAAAAAUCUGGGUUCAACAAAAACUGUUACCCUUCAGUUUUAUGUUGUGGUUGAGUACUACUCGAUAAUAGUGAGUGAUAUCAUUUAUGGAGGACCAUCACAUGAUGGUCCAAAUGAGAAGUAGAUAUGAUACUAAAAAUUGAUGUAAGGUAAUGUCCCGUCCCAAGACCCACUCCAAGGGCAUGAAGGUCAUUUCACACCUCAAACCCAAAGGCUUAAAGUGUAACCUGACCCAAACAAUUAUCUUAUAACUGGAAGUUACCAAUUACCAAAUACCUGUUUAGAGUAGCAAAAUAAAAUUCUAAAAUCUUCAAAACUUAACUUUAAAACUAAGCAUCCAUCAACCAAAAUCCAUUUUCCAAAUAAAUUGCAAACUCAAACAAUUCAAGUGCUAACAAAAAUUUUCAUAAUCUCCAAAUCUCAACUUCAAACUAUCAAAAAAAAUUUAAAAGUUCAAUAUCUAAAUAGCUUCCAAAAACCAAAUAAUCCAAAUGAACAUAAACUUAUAAGCUAACAAUGUCCAAAAAUAACAUCCUAAGCAAAAUCCUAAUGAUGACCAUUCCCCGACCUAGCCAUCACUCAUCGCCCGAACUAAGUGUACCUGAAAAAUUAUCAACAAAAGAGAAUGAGCUCAAAGCCCAAUAAGGAACAUUAUUAUAGUCCAUGGAUCAAAUAUUUCAAGUUCACUUGUAAAAUAGGAGAUAUUAUAACUAAUUAUUUUCAUAAACCUUUGAGUCAGUUUUGUCAAUACAUUCAAAACUUUUAAUUGAACACUUUCAUUUCUGAUUCAAACAUUUUCAUAUCAAAUUCAGUCAAAACAUUCAAAUCAUUUAUUUACUUUGGUCAUCAAACAUUAAAUGAUGUCCAAUUAGGUGAGACUUUUCAAAUAAGUGGCUAGCCUCAAAUUGUUCAUUUAAGGUGGACGAAACCAAACACUACUAGUACUAGUAACCUCUAACCAAACCCCUAGAGGUUGGGGUCCAAAUCAAUUACAUUCCCCACCAAGAAAUGUAAAUGUCAACUAUUAUAUUUCGUCGACAAGGGUCAAACAAACCAAAAUCAAACACUUAUUUCAAUUAUUCAAAUUUGCAAAACAUAAUAUCUCCAUAUUUCUCUGUUGUGAACAAAAUGUAAGGUUCUAACAUACUUUUCAUGCAAAACAUAUUUGAUUCAUGCAUAAAACGAAUAAUAACUCAAAGCGUUUCCAAAUGAUGUAUAUAAAAAUUUGUUUCUAAAAAAAAAAAAAAACCUGCAUUAAUUUCCCUUACCUCAAAAGAAGUCUUCAAAAACUUAGGAGAAAAAUAAUUCUUAAAAAUCUACUCCUCACCUAACAAAGUAUAAGAGAAAUAACCAUUAUUAUUUAUCUAAAAUUAUAGGUUUGACAAUCCUAAAAGGUAUUCAAAUUAAUGUUUUUAAUUAUAAAAGAUAAUUUAAUCUAUUCCUAUUUUAGAAAAAUUAAUAAAUUUCUAAUUCAUAUAAAACUUAAAUUUUAUUUUCAAUUUAUUUCUUAGGAUACAACAUAAUUUAAUUAAACUACAAUUUAUUCUACUAAUUAAAUUUUAUGCCACUUAUUAACUUACACUCAUCAUUAGUAUAAUAAUAUUGAUAACUUCUAUUCUCUUUCUUUCAAUUUUUUUUUUCCACUAAACAUAAAUUGUAACCCUAACAAUUCUCCAUUAUUGCUAACAUAAUAAUGUAAAGAUAUUUAUUAACCACCAAACACCAUCCGUACACAUCUUCCUUUAUUAUUAAUAUUACUAUUUUUUUUCUUUUAAAAAAAAUAAAAAAUUCCUCCAGUGCAAGUGUGUUCUUUUUUUUUCCCCUAAUGUUUUCUAAUCCCUUAACCCACAUAUAAUAAUAUAUUUAUUUACUCAUUUAUUUAUUUAUUUUUAAAAAAAUCAUUACUUAGAUCUAUUCAUCUAAAAAAUUUUGAAUUUCCCUUAUUUCAACAAUAGAACAAUCUAUAUUCCCAAUUUCAAUAUUUUGACCUAAAAGUUUUAAAUAGGUUAAGUCUAGCCUAAAUUGAAAUCUUUCAAAGAAAUUUUUUUUUUUUUCAAAAACUUAAGAUUUCCCAAUUUUUAAUAAUAAAACCACCAAUAAUCCUAAAUUUCUAAUAUUUUGAUAUUAAAACGAAUUAAAAAAAAAACUAACCCUAAUCUAAAUUAAAAAAAUAAAAUUCAAAGAAUAACUAACGUGUUUAGAACUAACUAUUGAAUAUAAUAUAUUAAUUUAAGAUUAGAAUCUUACCUAGAAAAAAAACCUGAAUUUCAACUUUAAAUCUCUAACCCUUGAGCCCUACGAACUCCAAUUCUCUACUUCUAGUUAAUAGGGUUUUCUGAACGAAGAAGAAAAGAGGAAAAAUCCAAUUUAUACCUAGGAUUUUUAAUUGUAAAAUGACUCUUUCACCCUCAAUGAAUUUAAUUAAUUAUUUAAUUACUUUAUAAAUUACUAGUUUGCCCCUAGAUUAAAUUUUGGGGUGUUACAGGUAAUCAAGUAAAAGUUAACGAGUUGGAUCGAAACAGGUUCUGACUUUCUGUAGCUGCAUUUAGAAAUGAAGGUUUUACAGGUAAAGAUGUUUCAGACACUUCUUCACCAAAACCCAUGUGUAAAAGGAACAGAUUGAACCGAAAGCUACUUCAUUAUGGUUUUGUGGAGAGUUGCUUUUCUUGAGAAGUUCUAUAUAGGCUUUCAGUUACUUGUGACCUAUUGUGCUUCAAAUCAAUCAAUUUGAUUUUCGUGCCAGAAUGAAAGCAUUGAUUAUACUAGAAGUUCAUGUUCAAGUUUAAAGUAAAGUAAAUAUGCGAAGACUGUUUUUUGUUAUCAAACCUAAUUCCCUUUUUUUUCCUCCAUUUUUUUUUUUCUCAGCUUCUGAGUUCAUGAAAUUACAGUUACAUGGAAUUUGGCCCACAGGAAAUCUCUUUUAGAAAAUCUUAUCCGGUUUACUUCACAAUUUUUUUUUUAAAUGUGAAAAUUAAGAACAAUUGCAUGCUGUUGAUCAAGACAUCCAUGUUUAGCAAUUCAUCCUCUCAUUGAAAUAAAUGUAAAUGUUCCAUUUAUUUAAAAGUUUGCGAAUCUUAAGUAGAUGGCAAACAGAUCAAUAAGGUCCAAUAACAGAACAAAUUAAUGGCUAGUAUAUACUGAAAGAGAACUCAAGGGUAUAAAAUAAAAACAAAAUGAUCCAAACUGCAAAGCAUCAUGGCCAUGGCAAGGUCCUUAUUGUUGAACUGGAUGUCUUUCUUUGAUGUUAAUAGUCGUUGUACCCCCAAAAGAUCUUCCUGUUCCUUCUGAUAUCAAUUAUUCAUUCUAUCUAUCCUAUAAUCUGCACGGAAAACAGAGGAAUGUUAAAUACUGUAUGAAUGAUGAAAAUGAGAAAUGUGGUCUGUAUUAUUAUAUAUACUUACAUGAAACUAGAAGAGGCAAUUCAUUUAGUAAUAUGGUGGAGGAGGUGAAGGAGAGGAAGGGGGUGGUGACUUGUGGUGGUAGACUGGUGGUUGGGAUGAUGGAGAAGGUAGUGGUGGGGACUUAUAGUAAUAAGGAGGUUGAGGAGAUGGUGAUGGAGGAGGAGGUAAUUUAUAGUCGUAGUGAGGAGGGGGUGAUGGUGAAGGUAGUGGUGGUGACUUGUAGUAAUACCACGGAGGAAGAGAUGGAGAGGGAGCCAGAGGUGACAUCGGUGGUAGUGAUUUAUAGUAAUAAGGAGGCAGUGAUGAUGGAAAAGGUGGGAGCGGUGGCAGUGAUGAUGGAAAAGGUGGGAGCGGUGGCCGUGAUUUAUAGUAAUAAGGAGGUAGUGAUGAUGGAAAAGGUGGGGAUGCAAAAGUAUUAGGAUUGUGAG
rnacentral:lncRNA from 1 species